UGGGCAAGCGCAGUAGAUUGUGGAGUUGUAGUGAUGUCUGUCAAUUGUUGACCAAAAAUCUGGUGAAAGCCGUAUGCAUGAUAUAUAUUAUCUUUUUUUCUUAUUGUGAUAUGCUUUGUUAAUAUAAAAAAACAUACACACACAAGUGUGUGUGUGUGUACAUUUAUUUGUGAAGUUAAGCUUAAAACUUUACGGGAAAUCUUUAUAUAUCUAAAGUAAUUUAUUCUUUGCUGUGAUCUGAAGGGAACUGAAAAAGUUGAGGGGAUAUUCUUGGACACAUCAAAAAUGGGAGAAGUGGAGAUGAGUUCCAGAGCCUUUGCGAGGAUGUAUAACCUUAGACUGCUCAAAAUUUUCGAUUCUAGAGUUGGGAAUAACUGCAAAGUGAACCUUCCUCAUGGCCUUGAGUCUC
rnacentral:misc_RNA from 1 species